AUACGUAGGGAGCGAGCGUUGUCCGGAAUUACUGGGCGUAAAGGGCGCGUAGGCGGCGCUUCAAGUCGUCUGUCAAAUGGGAGGGCUUAACCCUUUUUCGCAGACGAAACUGGAGAGCUUGAGAAGCAGAGAGGCAAACAGAAUUCCUGGUGUAGCGGUGAAAUGCGUAGAUAUCAGGAAGAAUACCAGUGGCGAAGGCGGUUUGCUGGCUGCAUACUGACGCUGAAGCGCGAAAGCCAGGGGAGCAAACGGGAUUAGAUACCCCGGUAGUCCUGGCAGUAAACGAUGUAUGCUGGGUGUGAGACUAGCGAUAGUUUCGUGCCGAAGUUAACGCGAUAAGCAUACCGCCUGGGGAGUACGGUCGCAAGAUUGAAACUCAAAGGAAUUGACGGG
rnacentral:rRNA from 1 species